UAAUAACCUAUCAAACACACAAACAAACGGGGGUUUCAUUAUUUUCCCCCAAAACCGCCGCUCACAUCUUACGACUUCAAUCCCCGGCGAGCAGCUUAACCCCAUGGGUAAGAGAGAUUCACUUCACCGGAGAGAGAAUCUAAUCCACUAAAGAUGGAGAAACCACGGCGACAGAGAAGCAGGGACGAAGAAAAGGGGAUAGAUCUACCCUCUCCUUCAGCGAUGACAGUCGUUUUCUUACCCGAAGUUGCAGGAAAAAAAAUGUAAUAGAGAGGCCUCAGAUGAUCAUCUUCCAUUAAUAGAAGAAGCCAGCAUGAUGUCAGCUGUUAGGGGAGCGGUGUACAACGAAAGGUCUAGAGCGAUGUGAUAUGUAUGAAGCUACAAAUACAUCAUUGAAAUAAGAUCUGUGUCGUUGGUUGUGAUGUAUUGUGCAUUUUUGGGAGCUAUUAAGGUUUAUCUGAGUUAUGUUUGCAAUGACUGUAGAUGUGAACAUUGAAAUAUAUCUGAAGGGAUGUAAUGUUGAUAUUAAGACAUAUUUAUGUGUAAUUAUUUUUGUUGAUAUUGUUAUGAAUGAUUUAUUUUGGAGAU